rnacentral:rRNA from 1 species
UACAGGGGGGGGCAAGCGUUGUUCGGAAUUACUGGGCGUAAAGGGCUCGUAGGUGGCCAACUAAGUCAGACGUGAAAUCCCUCAGCUUAACUGGGGAACUGCGUCUGAUACUGGAUGGCUUGAGUUUGGGAGAGGGAUGCGGAAUUCCAGGUGUAGCGGUGAAAUGCGUAGAUAUCUGGAGGAACACCGGUGGCGAAGGCGGCAUCCUGGCCUGUUCUUGACGCUGAGGCGCGAAAGCUAGGGGAGCAAACGGG